GAUGAACGCUGGCGGCGUGCCUAAUACAUGCAAGUCGAGCGAACGGACGAGAAGCUUGCUUCUCUGAUGUUAGCGGCGGACGGGUGAGUAACACGUGGAUAACCUACCUAUAAGACUGGGAUAACUUCGGGAAACCGGAGCUAAUACCGGAUAAUAUUUUGGACCGCAUGGUUCAAAAGUGAAAGACGGCCUUGCUGUCACUUAUAGAUGGAUCCGCGCUGCAUUAGCUAGUUGGUAAGGUAACGGCUUACCAAGGCAACGAUGCAUAGCCGACCUGAGAGGGUGAUCGGCCACACUGGAACUGAGGCACGGUCCAGACUCCUACGGGAGGCAGCAGUAGGGAAUCUUCCGCAAUGGGCGAAAGCCUGACGGAGCAACGCCGCGUGAGUGAUGAAGGUCUUCGGAUCGUAAAACUCUGUUAUUAGGGAAGAACAUAUGUGUAAGUAACUGUGCACAUCUUGACGGUACCUAAUCAGAAAGCCACGGCUAACUACGUG
rnacentral:rRNA from 1 species